rnacentral:tRNA from 2 species
AGCCCUGAGGUGUAAACACGUUAGAUUGCAAAUCUAAAGUAGUAGACUAACCCCUGCCGGGGCUU